UACGUAGGUGGCAAGCGUUGUCCGGAUUUACUGGGCGUAAAGCGCACGCAGGCGGUCCGCCAAGUCUCUGGUGAAAUCUCCCGGCUCAACUGGGAGGGGUCCGGAGAAACUGGCGGACUUGAGGGGACCAGAGGAGAGUGGAAUUCCAGGUGUAGUGGUGAAAUGCGUAGAUAUCUGGAGGAACACCCGUGGCGAAGGCGGCUCUCUGGGGUCUACCUGACGCUGAGGUGCGAAAGCGUGGGGAGCGAAC
rnacentral:rRNA from 1 species